AGGUGGCAAGCGUUUAUCCGGAAUAUUGGGCGUAAAGCGCGCGCAGGUGGUUUCUUAAAGUCUGAUGUGAAAGCCCCCGGCUCAACCGUGGAGGGUCAUUGGAUACUGGGAAGACUUGAGUGCAGAAGAGGAAAGUGGAAUUUCCAUGUGUAGCGGUGAAAUGCGUAGAGAUAUUGGAGGAACACCAGUGGCGAAGGCGACUUUCUGGUCUGUAACUGACACUGAGGCGCGAAAGCGUGGGGGAGCAAACAGGAUUAGAUACCCUGGUAGUCCACGCCGUAAACGAUGAGUGCUAAGUGUUAGAGGGUUUCCGCCCUUUAGUGCUGAAGUUAACGCAUUAAGCACUCCGCCUGGGGAGUACGGCCGCAAGGCUGAAACUCAAAGGAAUUGACGGGGGCCCGCACAAGCGGUGGAGCAUGUGGUUUAAUUCGAAGCAACGCGAAGAACCUUACCAGGUCUUGACAUCCUCUGAAAACCCUAGAGAUAGGGCUUCUCCUUCGGGAGCAGA
rnacentral:rRNA from 1 species